rnacentral:rRNA from 1 species
CUACGGGGUGCUGCAGUGGGGAAUAUUGGGCAAUGGAGGAAACUCUGACCCAGCAACGCCGCGUGGAGGAAGAAGGUCUUCGGAUUGUAAACUUCUGUUAUAAGGGAAAAAGAAAGUGAUGGUACCUUAUGAGGAAGCCACGGCAAACUAUGUGCCAGCAGCCGCGGUAAUACAUAGGUGGCAAGCGUUGUCCGGAAUAACUGGGCGUAAAGAGAGCGUAGGCGGAAUGAUAAGUUGAUUGUGAAAGCCCAAGGCUUAACCUUGGAAUUGCAGUCAAAACUGUCAAUCUAGAGUACGGGAGAGGAAGGCGGAAUUCCUAGUGUAGCAGUGGAAUGCGUAGAUAUUAGGAGGAACACCAGAGGCGAAGGCGGCCUUCUGGAACGCAACUGACGCUGAGGCUCGAAAGUAUGGGGAGCAAACAGGAUUAGAUACCCGGGUAGUC